rfam:Trichosporon oleaginosus strain IBC0246 unplaced genomic scaffold CC85scaffold_5, whole genome shotgun sequence.
GGCAACUUGGCGGAGUGGUUAACGCGAUUGACUAGAAGCCGAGCUCAGCUGGCAGCUAUCAAUUUCCUUCGGGAGCGCAUGUUCGAAUCAUGCAGUUGUCG